CAUGGUUGGCAUGUUCAAAACAAGGCAGGGUAGCUUUUCUUACCAAUGUGUUGGAGCUUCAUACCCUACCUGAAGCAAAGAGCCGCGGGGAUCUUCCUGUACUUUUCUUGGAGGUAAUGCAAUCUUUGUGAGGUUUGUUCAAGUUCACCUGACAAAAAAAGGGGUUGCGUAAAUUCAAUGCGGUCUUUGUUAUUUCAGAGCACAAAGAGCCCGAUGGAAUUUGCAGAGGAACUAGUGAAAGAGGCUCAUCAGUACAACGGAUUUAACCUGAUAUUGGCUGACAUUCCUUCCAAAUCAAUGGUUUAUGCCUCCAAUAGACCAAAGGGGGAGCCCGUUAGCAUCCAACAGGUUUCUCCAGGCCUUCACGUUCUUUCAAAUGCGAAGCUCGACUCACCCUGGCAUAAGGUAGAUAUUAUACAUAUCAUUUUACGUAGAAAACAACAAUGAGAGUGUUGAUCCUUUUCUUCCCCCCUCUGCAUGCAGGCUCAGCGGCUGGGUAAAAACUUCAAACAAAUGCUCAAUAAACUUGGUAAAAAUGAAGUAAUCGUGAAAGAGAUGGUUGAAAAACUUAUGAAGGACAAAGUUAAAGCUGAUAAAAGCAAGUUACCUGGGAUUUGUGCUCUUGACUGGGAGUUCAAUCUUAGCUCCAUAUUUGUCGAAGUGGACACCCCACUGGUAAAAAUUUCAACUAUAAAUUCUACUCAAAAUGUGGAAAUUUGGGUAGUUUUACUUAUCC
rnacentral:lncRNA from 1 species